AACUGCUCUUGGUGAGUCUACAAACUCUCUGUCAAUGAACUUGGAAUAAUUGCUUACAAUGAGUGAAUAAACAGCACCAAGUUUGAUAUCUUAUUUUUUCUUUCUACGUUCCUUCAGCCUGACAGUGCUAUGUGAAGUUUUGAACUGGUUAUGAAAAGCCUGACCCGGGAUUUCCACCACAUCCGGAAAGGCUCCGAUCCAGAAUGGCAGCGAUUUUCGCCGCACACCAAUUCCUACCUGGAUUCACGUGCAAUCGCGCAAUAACAAGUUGUCUUUCACCACAAAGGCUAACCAUAUAAACAGUAGACUG